AGAGUUUGAUCCUGGCUCAGGAUGAACGCUGGCGGCAUGCCUAAUACAUGCAAGUCGAACGAGAGGGAGGAAAGCUUGCUUUCCUAAAUCUAGUGGCGAACGGGUGAGUAACACGUAGGUAACCUGCCCAUGUGCCCGGGAUAACUUCUGGAAACGGAUGCUAAAACCGGAUAGGUAGCAGACAAGCAUUUGACUGCUAUUAAAGUGGCUAAGGCCAUGAACAUGGAUGGACCUGCGGUGCAUUAGCUAGUUGGUGAGGUAACGGCCCACCAAGGCGACGAUGCAUAGCCGGCCUGAGAGGGCGGACGGCCACAUUGGGACUGAGACACGGCCCAAACUCCUACGGGAGGCAGCAGUAGGGAAUUUUCGUCAAUGGGGGGAACCCUGAACGAGCAAUGCCGCGUGAGUGAGGAAGGUCUUCGGAUCGUAAAGCUCUGUUGUAAGAGAAAAACGGCACUCAUAGGGAAUGAUGAGUGAGUGAUGGUAUCUUACCAGAAAGUCACGGCUAACUACGUGCCAGCAGCCGCGGUAAUACGUAGGUGGCGAGCGUUAUCCGGAAUGAUUGGGCGUAAAGGGUGCGUAGGUGGCAGAUCAAGUCUGGAGUAAAAGGUAUGGGCUCAACCCGUACUUGCUCUGGAAACUGAUCAGCUAGAGAACAGAAGAGGACGGCGGAACUCCAUGUGUAGCGGUAAAAUGCGUAGAUAUAUGGAAGAACACCGGUGGCGAAGGCGGCCGUCUGGUCUGGAUUCUGACACUGAAGCACGAAAGCGUGGGGAGCAAAUAGGAUUAGAUACCCUAGUAGUCCACGCCGUAAACGAUGAGAAC
rnacentral:rRNA from 1 species